rnacentral:hammerhead_ribozyme from 1 species
AUCCAGGUGACAAGUCCCAAAUAGGACGAAAUGCGCAUCCUGGUGGAU